UUGAGUGAAAACAUUUGCUGUCAACAGCCAGUUCCACUGUACUAAGCCAGUCUAACAGAUGUGCACUCACCCAAAGACUUAUGCAGCUGCUACUGCUGCCGCUGUGUGUGUGUGUGUGUGUGUGUGUGUGUGUGUGCGUGCGUGCGUGCGUGCGUGUGUGUGUGUGUGUGUGUGUGUGUGUGUGUGUCUGUUUACGCACAGUUCAGCAGGGUUUAUGGGUAUGAGAGCAUGUGCGCUUUCAUAACUUAAAAAAAAAAUCACCAUAAAUAAACACCCCCCCCCUCCACAAAUCUGUUCUCAUUAGAUUUGAUGUUGAUUGCAUUACGCAUAUGAACACAUUCUUGGCCAUUGUCCGCAUCCCCUGGGCCGAGUGGAGCCUCGCGUUGGACCGUGCCGGGCCUGGCCUCCGGAACCCUCUUUGCCCUGGGAGAUGGAUUCAAGGGGCCGGGGGGGCAUCGUGCAGCCCGGUUUAGCCUCUCAUUCUGGUUCAGGGCACCUGGGUGGAUGCCCCACCCCCCUCCCCCGGGGCCGGGGGGACGAGCCAGGCUCCACCGCCGGCUGUUUGUUUCACCAGCAUCCCAAAAGGCUGUUGCGUCCCUCCCCGCUCGCCGCUGCCCCUCCUCUGCCCGUCGCCCGUAGGGAUUAG
rnacentral:lncRNA from 1 species